ACGCUGGCGGCAGGCCUAACACAUGCAAGUCGAGCGGUAGAGAGAAGCUUGCUUCUCUUGAGAGCGGCGGACGGGUGAGUAAUGCCUAGGAAUCUGCCUGGUAGUGGGGGAUAACGUCCGGAAACGGACGCUAAUACCGCAUACGUCCUACGGGAGAAAGCAGGGGACCUUCGGGCCUUGCGCUAUCAGAUGAGCCUAGGUCGGAUUAGCUAGUUGGUGGGGUAAUGGCUCACCAAGGCGACGAUCCGUAACUGGUCUGAGAGGAUGAUCAGUCACACUGGAACUGAGACACGGUCCAGACUCCUACGGGAGGCAGCAGUGGGGAAUAUUGGACAAUGGGCGAAAGCCUGAUCCAGCCAUGCCGCGUGUGUGAAGAAGGUCUUCGGAUUGUAAAGCACUUUAAGUUGGGAGGAAGGGCAGUAAAUUAAUACUUUGCUGUUUUGACGUUACCGACAGAAUAAGCACCGGCUAACUCUGUGCCAGCAGCCGCGGUAAUACAGAGGGUGCAAGCGUUAAUCGGAAUUACUGGGCGUAAAGCGCGCGUAGGUGGUUCGUUAAGUUGGAUGUGAAAUCCCCGGGCUCAACCUGGGAACUGCAUUCAAAACUGACGAGCUAGAGUAUGGUAGAGGGUGGUGGAAUUUCCUGUGUAGCGGUGAAAUGCGUAGAUAUAGGAAGGAACACCAGUGGCGAAGGCGACCACCUGGACUGAUACUGACACUGAGGUGCGAAAGCGUGGGGAGCAAACAG
rnacentral:rRNA from 1 species